GCAAACUCCACGACCCGAGUGAGGACAAGCGGCAUAGAAAAUGGUCACUAAAAAUGGAAAAUGGAAAACCAUGGUUGCUAAACCAAUAUUUGUGAUUUAAGUGCGUUCUGUAAAACCGCCAGUAGGUGGCACAUAUCCCUAGUAUAACAGUUCAGAUUGAUAGACAUUUCGUCAUUGAGAAGUGCCUGAAAAAGCAUUGUGACCGGACAGAAGAACCGUCCCGGACUAAGAAGUGUACACAUACAUUGGCGUGAGGAGCCAUUCCAUCGAGUGUGCCUCCUGUGAGCUCCGGUGUUUUUACGGAUGACUGCUGGAGAUACUACCCAGUGAUUGGCUGGCGACCAGUCCAGGGUGUACCCCCACCUCUCGCCCGAAGUCAGCUGGGAUAGGCUCUAGCAUACCCCCGCGACCCUAGUGAGGAUAAGCAGCAUAGAAGAUGGAUGGGUGCUGGAGAUACAGUCAGUCCCUCCAGGAUUUCACAGGCUUUCAUAGCCAUUAUUAUACAUACUUCAUGACUUAUUUUGUAGUGUGGAAUGUUAUAAAAGGCUUGAUCGAUUUGUAUUUGUCAAACAGAGAAGGUUAGUCAGUAACAGUAGGUAUGAGGAAAAUGCACAUUGUCAUGCUUUGUUGACACUGUCGUCCACAAGUUGCAGACAUUCUCCAUGUAUGUUUUACGGUUGAAACUGCUUGUCGAUAAUACACUUAUGUUUAUAUUAAAACUAGGGCUGUGAAAUUAUUGAAAAUUUAAUCUGAUUAAUCAUGGUUUUCAGAUUGAUUAAUCAUGAUUAAUAACCAUGUAACACUGUUACCUUAUAUUACCAUAUCAUAUUAUACUGUAUUAGCUUAUCAUUUUCCUAUGUAUUUUAAUCUAGCAAAGAGUACAUUUUGAAUAAAGGAAGCGAACAAAUGUAUUGCAAUUGAUGUGAAACGGAUAUAAAGAAAUUAAACCAUUAUCAUGUCUGAAAUAUGCCCAUUUUUACUGUAUUCUA